AGAGUUUGAUCCUGGCUCAGAACGAACGCUGGCGGCGCGCCUAAUACAUGCAAGUCGAGCGAGAAGGUGUAGCAAUACACUUGUAAAGCGGCGAACGGGUGAGGAAUACAUGGGUAACCUACCCUCGAGUGGGGAAUAACUAGCCGAAAGGUUAGCUAAUACCGCGUACGCUUCCGGGACUGCGGUUCCGGAAGGAAAGCGAUACCGUGGGUAUCGCGCUCUUGGAUGGGCUCAUGUCCUAUCAGCUUGUUGGUGAGGUAACGGCUCACCAAGGCUUCGACGGGUAGCUGGUCUGAGAGGACGAUCGGCCACACUGGCACUGCGACACGGGCCAGACUCCUACGGGAGGCAGCAGUAAGGAAUAUUGCGCAAUGGACGACAGUCUGAGGCAGCGACGCCGCGUGGGGGACGAAGGUCUUCGGUUUGUAAACCCCUUUCGGGAGGGAAGAUGGGAUGGGGUAACCCAUUCGGACGGACCUCCAGAAGCAGCCCCGA
rnacentral:rRNA from 1 species